ensembl:snRNA
AUGUCUUAUGAAAGGAGGAGGUUAAACAUCCCUUGACAGGACGGGAGGGACCCCCGUACAAGUGCAUGGUUAAGCCCUUACCACUUACUCUGUGGCAUCUAACCAUGGGUUUGC